AAGAGAUUAGUUAAAAUUAUAACAUUAAUUUGUCAAAUUAAAAUUAUUUAUUAUAUCACUUA
rnacentral:tRNA from 1 species